rnacentral:rRNA from 1 species
UGGGGAAUUUUGGACAAUGGGCGCAAGCCUGAUCCAGCCAUGCCGCGUGCGGGAAGAAGGCCUUCGGGUUGUAAACCGCUUUAGUCUAGGAAAAAGGUGUGCGAGGAUAAUACCCUCGUGCUUUGAUGGUACUGGAAGAAUAAGCACCGGCUAACUACGUGCCAGCAGCCGCGGUAAUACGUAGGGUGCAAGCGUUGUUCGGAUUUACUGGGCGUAAAGGGCGCGUAGGCGGCGCGGUAAGUCACUUGUGAAAUCUCUGAGCUUAACUCAGAACGGCCAAGUGAUACUGCAGUGCUAGAGUGUAGAAGGGGCAAUCGGAAUUCUUGGUGUAGCGGUGAAAUGCGUAGAUAUGCGGAGGAACACCGAUGGCGAAGGCAAUCCCCUGGGCCUGCACUGACGCUCAUGCACGAAAGCGUGGGGAGCAAACA